CCUUCUAUGAUGAUUUUUUCAUUUGACUUUCGUUCUUCUGAGUUAAUCUGAAGCGAUUUAUAUAGUCUGAAAAGG
ensembl:snoRNA